GAUAUGAUAAUUUUUAUGAUUAGUUUUAUUUGAUACCCGUCGCGCAUCGCGCGGGUACGAAUACUAGUAAAAAAAAUAAAAAGAAAAAGGGGACCACAUGGACACGGAAAAGGAGGAUAACAAAAAGGGGUCAUUCAUUUUCUUGGGGAGGGGGCACGGGUAUUAGAUAGAAAAGGGAAAAGAAUAUCGAUAGAGAGAGAAUAUAAUAGAACAGAUAGAGAAAGAGAAACGGACAGAAAACAAGAAAAAAAAAAUCAGUCGUCUUCUUCAUUUUUUUGUUCACCGGAAAAAUCAUCAUCUUCAUUUCUUCACCGGAAAAACCCACCGGAAAAAAAAAGGAAACAGUAACCAAACGCCCCCCCCCCCCCCUUUUUCCUUUCUUCACCUAUAAACACCACCCUAUUCCCGUCACCACCUAAAACCAACGAACCCACCUGAAAAUCAUCCAAACACCUCACUUUUUUCCCGUCAUUAAACCCACCCAUCGGAAAAUAUCAAUAUCCGUGAACACUCACCUGAAACCACCAUCCCAAACAUCCUUUUUCCACCGCUAAAACCACCAACAAAAACACCUUAAAACAACCAUGGAAAUACUAUAAAAUACCGGACAACGACGAAUCUAAACAGAGGGGUUGAGGUUUCUGUCUCUAUUUUCAGUUUGAGUUGCGGGUUGUAGUUCGAGGUUCUAGUUUCCGGUUGUCGGUCUCCGUCCGUGGCUCCGGUAUUAAGAUUAUCGAGAAGGUUUAAUACCUGAAACUACGUAUGCUAGCGUAGGAUAAGGAUCGCUCCACCCAAUUAGGACGAUUCCUUCAUGUUUACCCAUUGCGGGAUAUUGGAUCCAUUCAUGACUUGUUUCCCGGCAAGGUACAUGAUGGCUAGCUGAUCAGGCAGUGAUCAGAUGUGCUUACGUGGUGGUUACAUAUUGAUUAUGCUAAUGCUCUCCCACAGAUAUCUUUACAGACUUAAAAUAUCUUAUUCAUGUUAUGCAUAUUCAUGUCAUAUGAUAUUCAUGUUCAGUUUAUGGAUACAGUUUCAGUUUCGUUAUUUCAUGUGCCAUGCUUAUUUCAUUCAGUUGAUUUAUAUAUCGGUACAAUCUGAAUAUAUCGACGGCCUCUUUUAUUUGCCUGGGGGCCUGCAUUUCAUGAUGCAAAUUUACAGGACGACGGAUCAACUCUUUAGGACUUUUCACGUACCAGCUAUUAGUGAGCCCCAUCUCAUUCGGGGUUUUGUCUUUAUUUGUUUAUUGUCAGUUAUGCAGUAAAGGUAUGCCGGGGGCUUUGUCCUAGUAAACAGUUUGGUAGUCAGACUUAUGUCAGAGGUUUUAUAGACUAGACUAGUUUAGUUAUGUCAUGUCAGAUAUUUAGAGUCGUAUAGCCAGUAUUGGCUCAGCAUUUAUCAUUUAAUUUCAGCCUUAUGAUUACUUAACCUAUGCUUCAUUCACACCAUGCAUGUUA